GUGUGCUAAGAAUUGGUUAUGGAGUGAAAUCAACGGUUCUUCAACUAUGUCUGGAGAUUGUACACUUCAAUCAAUUCUUGAUGAUGGGGAGCCUAAUGAAGAGGAUGGGAGUUGUGUCACAAUUGUGGAUGAUUAGACAUUUUGUAUUAAUUUAGUAGCCUUUUUAAUUUCUUAGACUUGUUGGAUUAAUUUGUUGGUUUGUAAUUAUUCUAAGCCUUUUUAGC